GGGCGAGAGCAGGCUGGAGGGUGGAACCGCUGAAGAGGCGGAGAGCAGGGUCCUGAGUUCCAGCCCUGCCUGCGAGCUCCCGGGCCCCCUCUUUCCGAUCCAGUGGGUCUUCAGGGGCACCCUGACCGAGGGUUUUGGAAAAGCUUCCCGGGUGAUUCUGCGAAUUAAGGCUCCGAUCUAACCUUACUACUUUACAGCUGGGGAAACCGAGGCACAGACUGUACCAAGGCGCACCAGGUGUUAGCACACUACGAAGAAGCCAAGUGAAAGCCUAUGAGGAGCGACCCGUCCGAGGCCAGGAUUUUCCCCAGGGCCUGGGUCCUGGGGAUCGGGGUUAGAAGAAAGGGUCCUGGGAUUCCGGAAGGCCUGAGCGCCCGCUGCCCCGACAGCUUCGCGGGGUGGAUUCAGCUGGAUCACCGCGAGGGUCCCCGGUCUCACGAAAUUAAUCGAGGAGUAAAGAUUACAUUUAACCUCUGCAGACAGCAAGACAGGGACCACUCUCCCUCCCAGCCUGGCGCCAGCUUGAACCCGAGGGCAUGUCAACAGGAGCCAGGAACUGGAGGCGAAGCAUCUUUCAUUUCCUCUGCGGCGGUGGAACAAGUGAGGGACCUGGCAGCAUCUAGCGGCGUGAUCCAGAGCCUGGUGGAGAGCUGGGAAGCUUGCAGCUCCUCUAAUUCUUACUGCUAUAAACCAAAGGUAUACGUCACUGUGGGAAAAAUAUUAGGAAAUUAGCUGUGAUGUAUGUUUUCAGUGACUGCUCAAAAGCUUCUUAUACUAAUUUAAUUAGAAUAAUUUAUCUUAAUAGAAAGCUGUAAUUUUCUACUUUUUCCAAUCAGUUGAACCAAUCUGCACUUUUUAAAACCCACCCAUAUGGAAUUUAUUACACCAAAACCAAUACUCUAAACCUUUAUUUUUGUGCUAACCAUCAUUAUAACCGAGGAAUUAUGCUAUAGCAAUAGUUGAGACCUCUACUUCUGACUCUGGAACACCAACCUGGAUCAAACCAAGCCUCCAACCUCAAACAAGUAGAACAGCUGGAUAAUUUAAAAAAUCUGUCUAACUUGAGAGAACUUGAGAGGGCAAGAUCCUGGAGAGAACAGAAACAGAAAGGUGAAUCUGACAUUUGACACUUUUGUUCUGGAGGCUGGAAGUCCAAAACCAGGGUGUCAGCAGAUUCGGUUCUUGAUGAGGACUGGCUGGCCGAUUGCCACCUUCUCUCUGUGUCCUCACAAGGCAAAGAGAGGAAGCUCUGAUGUCUCUUUCUGAUCUUAUAAGAGCACUAAUCAAAUCACAGAAGCUCCACCCUUAUGACCUCAACUAAACCUAAUUACCUUCCCAAGGCUUCACUUCCUUAUACCAUCACACUGGGGGCUAAGGCUUCAAUAUAUGAAUUGGGGGGGAGCACAGAUAUUUAGUAUAUAACAGCACUAUUAUUCUUCUCAAGGCAUUUAUCUCUAAGAGCAGUGACUUCAGUGCUAAGAAGCUGAGCAAAGCUUUGGCAGUCUCAGAGAGGCCCUGGUAAUAGCCUAGCCUUUUUGUUAGGACCUCAGAAAGUUUAUACCAGUAGUAUGGGCAAAUCAAAAAAGGACCAACUUUCAAAAAGGUUUUACUCAAAGCAAACUAAGGAUAUGCCCCUAUACCAACUGUAUGACAAGAGCAAAAGAAAAUCUCUGGAGAAAGAUAGCCUCAUCCACAGUAUCACCUUGGUUCUAUAAUUUUUCAUAUACAGUAUGUAGCAGUUGAUCCAAAUUUACUAGGCAUACCAGGAGACAAAACUAAAUCACCCUAAACCAAGAGAGGAAAGAUAAUAGAAACUGAUUGACAGAGUUCCCCUUGUGGCUCAGCGGAAAUGAACCCGACUAGUAUCCAUGAAGAUGUGGGUUCAGUCCCCGGCCUUGCUCAGUGGGUUAAGGAUCCAGUGUAGCCGUGAGCUGUGGUGUAGGUCGCAGAUGUGGGCUCGGAUCCCAUGUCGCUGUGGCUGUGGCAUAGCCUGGCAGCUACAGCUCUGAUUCAGCCCCUAUCUUGGGAAAUUCCAUAUGCUGUUGGUGCAGCCCCCUGAAAAAAAAAACAAGAAGAAACUGAUUCACAGGGAACCAAGUUAUUGGAGUUAUUAGAUAUAGAUAAAAUAUCCUCUGAUCAAUACAUUCAAGGAAAUGAGAGACAGAACGGAUUUUUUUUUUUUUGUCUUUUUAAGGCUGCACCUGUGGCAUAUGGAGGUUCCCAGGCUAGGGGUUGAAUCUGCACUGUAGCCACUGGUCUAUGCCACAGCCACAGCAAUGUGGGAUCAGAGAUGCAUCUGUGACCUACAAAAUAAUGGAAAUAUUAUAACUGAAAAAGUGUAGUUAAAAAUAACUUAUUAGAUGAGUUCCAAGUAGAUGAGACACAAAUUAGGAGAGGAAUAGUGAAUUGGAAGAUAUAUCAGAAAAAAAUGUCUGCAGUGAAGCACAAAAAGACAAAAUGAUGGAAAAUACAGAAUGAGUAUGUCAUAUUUUGGACAUAAUGAAAAGCUUUUACCGUAAUUGUAACUGAGGUCCCAGAGGAAAACAGGAAGAGGGAGAAUUGAACAGAAGCAAUAUUUGAAUAGAUAAUGACCAAGAAUUUUCCGAUGUUGGUGAAAUACAUAAAUCCACAGAUUCAAGAAGCCCUAAGUAAAUAAAUACAUGUAGAAAAAAAUUUAACCCGUGUAUAUAUAAGAAUUAAAAUAGGGAGUUCCCAUCGUGGCAAAGCAGAAACAAAUCCAACCAGGAACCAUGAGGUUGUGAGUUCCAUCCCUGGCCUCACUCAGUGGGUUGAGGACCCGGCGUUGCCUUGAGCUGUGGUGUAGGCCGGCAGCUGUAGCUCCGAUUAGACCCCUAGCCUGGGAACCUCCAUAUGCUGGGGAUGCAGCCCUCAAAAGACAGAAGACAAAAAAAAAAUAUUUUCUCACAGUUCUGAAGGCUGGAAGUCAGAGAUCAGGGUGCCAGCAUGGUCAGAUUCUAGUGAAGGCUGUCUUCCUGGCUUUUAGCUUUUUUUAGGAUCGUACAGGUGGCAUACGAAAGUUCCCGGGCUAGGGGUCCAAUCGGAGCUGUAGCUGCUGGCCUGCAUCACAGCCACAGCAACUCUGGAUCUGAGCCUUGUCUGCAACCCACACCAGAGCUCACAGCAACACCAUAUCCUUAACCCACUGAGCAAGGCCAGGGAUUGAACCCGCAUCCUCAUGGGUACUAGUUGGGUUCAUUAACUGCUGAGCCAUGACAGGAUCUCCCUCUUUUACCGUAAUUGUAACUGAGAUGGCCCUCUUCUUUCUGUAUCCUCAGAUGUCAGAAAGAGCAGAUUCUCUGGUGUCCCUUCUUGUAAGAACCUCAGUUCUAUCAGAUCAGACCUUUAUGACCUCACUUAACCUUAAAGGACCCGUCUUCAAAUCCAGCCACAUUGGGGGUUGAAGCUUCAACAUAUCAAUUUGGUGGGGGCGGAGACACAGUUCAAUUCAUAACAUAAUUUCUUGCUAUAACCUCUAAAGGAAUGGUUAAAAAAAGUGUAACUCACAAGCAAAUACUAGAGGGAGAAAUGAUAUGAAAAUAGUUAAUCUGAAGAAAGAAAACAAAGAAGGUGAUAAUAGAAGAAGACAUAGAAACAUUGUAGAUUUAAACCUAAAUGGGCAACAAUUAAAUUACAUGUGAACGAACUAAACACUGCCAUCAAACUUCAAAAGUUGACUGACAGGAUAAAUAAAUAACGGACAGCCAACUACAUUCUGAGACAUACCUUAGGCAUGAGGAUAAGAAAGGCAGAAAGUGCAAAGAUGGGGAAAAAUAGACCAUCAAAGCAAAGAUUAAAAAGAUUGUUGGGAGGCAGUCAGAAAAACAUUUCUAAUGUGAUGACACAAAUUUGCCAGUUUCAAUAGGAGUUAAUAGAAAAUGUAUUUUUCUGAAUUUUAUUGAAUCAGAUGGAUUGUUCUCACCUGUUUUUUUUGACACUAGCCCUUUUCUUUUCUUUUUCUUCUUUUUUAGCUUUUAUUAAAUCCUUACAAGACAGAAUACAAAAUCCCGGCAUUGAAAGUUGGUGUCAAGGAAAACUUCUGAGCUGUAUCAGUUCACAUGGCACAGUGGAAUUAAAGUGCUUGGAUGUUUUUUCCCCCACUUUAAAAAAAUUUUGAGUUUUUUUUUUUUUUUUUUUUUUUGUCUUUUUUAUGCAACUUAACAUUGAAACUCUGCUGUUCUCCCUUCCCCCAGUGCUAGAGAGCCUGGGACCAGGUUGCUCACUCACAGUAAUUGUUCUGACCCGUCCUCUGAGCCGCGCUGUCGAUAUAACCGGGGGAGGAAGUGACACUAGCCGUUUUCUUAAAGCAGGAUCGCACUCUGUCUUACCUACUAUCCCAUCUAUAUUCAACAAAUCAGGUGCCGAGAGCCUCCUGACAGCCUGAAAGCCAUGCUGUUGAGUCUGGCCAGCUGUGUAUAUGUGGUGCGUAGGCACUUAAAGCUUUCUUUCCGUUCAUCCCAAGUUUGCAGAGCUUUGGCAAAAGUCACUUCACAGUUGGGCAGUGCCUCUCCUGGAGGAGCUCACAACUCCAGAGAGAGAUAGGCAAGCGUAGAGAGGACCCCCAAAUCUCUGAAUAUGCACCGUAGCAAAGGCACCGGAGCCUGAUCAGAGAGGGUCUCAUUCUUCCUGGAUUAUUGAGCACCUACUAUGUGCCAGGCUUCUCAACAUGGUUUUUUUUCUCUGACCUAAGAACCGUAUUUUUUCCAAAAAAUUAUGACAUCUUAAAAAAAGUGAAGAGUUUCCUGGUGGCUCAGCAUGUUGAUGAUCUGAUGUUGUCACUGCUAUGGCUCUGGUUACUGCUGUGGUGCAGGUUCGAUUCCUGGCCCUGGAACUUCUGCAUGGCAUGGGUGUGGCAAGAAAAAGAGAGAGAAAAGUGGGGAAGAUUUUUUUUCUUCCCAGUCAGUGAGUUUUGUGAAAUACCUGUGAAAUUAAGAGCAAAUGGACACAUAGAGAGGCUGAGGGAGGAAAAAAGGGUAGGGAAACCAACCUGUGUAGAGCUGCCAUUGUGUGUUAUCUCACUGAUCACAAUAACCUAAUGGGGGAGGUCCGGAUGCACUUUACAGAUCAGAAAUCGAGGUCCAGAGAGGUCAAGUCACUUUUCCUGAGUCUCCAGCCUGCAAGGUGAGGAGCCGAUCUAUAGAUGCCACGUCUUUUGACUCUUGGUCCAGGGUCCUUGCAUCAGGCAACUGCGUAGUAGGUGUCCUUGAGACCUCCUACGUUCAUGGAGGCCCCGGGCUUGGAGGUGGCACUUGGGAAGCAAUGGGAGGAGAUGGGGGGAAUUGAAAUGCCUGAAUGUCCCAGGUGGGAUUGGAGGCCGAAGCCUCCUCCACCCACCCCUCACCCCUGAGCCUCCUAUCUUUGGGACUCUGUCCCCGUCUCUUAACUGCUGGCAGGUAAUGAGAUAGGUCAUUAGAAGAUGGGCAGAAGCCUUUGUCCUUUUGGGUGAAGGGGACCUCUCAUCAUCAGGGUCCUAGCAUUUUCUCAACAGUUUCCCACAGGUUUCACACUCGUUAAGAACUGGUAUCUGUGUAGUGGUGUCUCUGGAGCAAGGUGUUCACUUAGUGCUUUGGGCCAACAUGGUAGCUUCAGAACCAGACAGGAGAAAAGGGAAGAGAAGACUAUUAUUCAUGGGUGUCUUAGUCUGCUUUAACAAACUACCGUAAGUCAGAGAGCUUAAACAACCGAAAUUUAUUUUCUACAAGUUCUGGAGUGUAGAAGUCUGAGGUUAAGAUGCCAGGAUGGUCAAGCUCUGGUGAAACUCUUUUCCUGGCUUGCAGAAGACAGCCUUCUCCCUGUGUCCUCACAUGGCAGAGAGAUGACAACAGGCUAAUAAGGCCACUAAUCCCAUUGUAGGGGCACCACCCUCAUGAUCUCAUCUAACCUAAUUACCUUCAAAGGCUCCAUCUCCAAACACCAUCAUGUUUGAGGGUAGGGCUUCAACAUAGAAAUUUGAGGUGGGGGGACAUAAUUCAGUCCAUAACCAUUGUUUUGGGUUUGUUUGUUUGUUUUGUUUUUUUGUUUCUUUGGGGUUUUUUUGUUUUGGUUUUUUUUUUUGUUUUGUUUUGUUUUGUUUUUUGCUUUGUGGCAAAUCUCUUCAUCUCUUACCGGUGUCAUGGACAUAUUAUGAUUCCAAAGGGGUAGAAAGUAAGAGUCCCUGCUCUGCUGUCUGUUCUUUUCCCUUUGUCCCUUCAGGGGUCCUUUGGCAGAUUUGCAGCCAGGAAUCAGGAAGGACCAACCUUCUUACUGAUUUAAAAAAAAAAAAAAAAAAA
rnacentral:lncRNA from 1 species